rnacentral:rRNA from 1 species
CCUACGGGAGGCAGCAGUGAUGAAUAUUGGGCAAUGGACGAGAGUCUGACGCAGCCAAGCAGCGUGAAGGAUGACUGCCCUAUGGGUUGUAAACUUCUUUUAUAUGGGAAUAAAAUGUUCCACGAAUGGUAUUUUGUAUGUACGUUAUGAAUAAGAAUCGGCUAACUCCGUGCCAGCCGCCGCGGUAAUACGGAGGAUCCGAGCGUUCUCCGGAUUUAUUUGGUUUAAAGGGAGCGUAGGUGGAUUGUUAAGUCAGUUGUGAAAGUUUGCGGCUCAACCGUAAAAUUGCAGUUGAAACUGGCAGUCCUGAGUACAGUAGAGGUGGGCGGAAUUCGUGGUGGAGCGGUGAAAUGCUUAGA